rnacentral:hammerhead_ribozyme from 1 species
CUACUGCUGAAGAGUUCCUCAAUAGAACGAAACGGCCGUCCAGUAA